rnacentral:lncRNA from 1 species
AGAGGAGCUGACAGCCGAAGGAGGAGCGGCCGCGUUCUGCUGAGCUGCCGAGGGAUCAGGUUUGCCAGAGGAGGAGCGCGCAUGGCACUGCAUCUCCGAACUCCCCAACACCAUGGAGGUGGUUUACUGUUGGAUCUGAGCAGCCACUCACUGGGCAGCACCUUAGCUGCUGUAUUCACCGUGCUGAAGGAGGCUAUGGGCAUCCUGCCCAGAGAAGCAGGAUGUCCAGGAUUGUGCCUACCUUCAACUAGGAUGUAGUGGGAACUUGAAACCUGAGACUUCCAGACGAUGCUGGCCACCAACUGGUGCCUCACACAGAAACCCCACGGGUCCUGCCAGCACUGGACCCUUGCUCUUUCUCCUGUAGCUUUGCCUUGGCUCAAGACCCAUCUGCACCAGUUCUAUGGUCUCUGGGAGCUCCUUUGGAGGCCUGGCUGUCCCUGUGCUCUGCAAGAGCAGACAAGAUGUGGGUCUUGCUGGAUUCCAACCAGGCCUGAACUCUCUGCAUGAAGGAGGAGACUGGAGUCUCUCCAUCCAAUUUAGGAAUUCUGUGAACAAA